UAUUCUAAUCUGGGUCAUAGAACGGCUAAGGCAGCUUUAAGUGGAGGGCAGGGUUUGUUUUAUAUUUUCCUUUCUCUGUUUGCCCUUAGCUUUCCACCAUGAAACUGUGUUGUGGACUCUUUCUCCUGGUGGCUACUACUCAUGUUGAACUCUGUGAAUCAGAAGAGAAGAUUAGGACACAGGUACAGAGAGGGAAGACAUGUGAAGAGAGGAAAGCCAUUGACUAGCCAAAGAGCGAGUCCUCAGAAGAAAUCAACCCUCUCCACACCGUGAUCUUGUACUUCUAUCCUCCAGAAUGAUGCUGUGGAAGACCAGUAAUCCCAUUAAAGUGAGGAAGACGACAAGGUUCAUGUUAUUCCCAUUACAUCAUCCUGUUCUGAUAGUGCUGCUACAAUGAGACAAAACGACAGCAACAUCAUGCAAGAAGAUCCAAGGUUAAGGAAAGUAUG